UGGAGUUGUGGCUCAGUGGUAGAGCACUUGCCUGGCAUGUGUGAGGCCCUGGGUUCAAUCCUCAGCACUGUAU
rnacentral:tRNA from 1 species